rnacentral:rRNA from 1 species
GAGGAAGUAAAAGUCGUAACAAGGUUUCCGUAGGUGAACCUGCGGAAGGAUCAUUAUUGAAAUAAACUGAUGAGUUGCUGCUGGCUCUCUUGGGAGCAUGUGCACACUUGUCAUCUUUAUAUCUCCACCUGUGCACCUUUUGUAGACUUGGAUAUCUCUCUGACUGCCUAGCACUCAGGUUUGAGGAUUGACUUUAUUGUCUCUCCUUACAUUUCCAGGCCUACGUUUCUUCAUAUACCCCAAUGUAUGUCAUAGAAUGUAAUAAAUGGGCCUUUGUGCCUAUAAACCUAUACAACUUUCAGCAACGGAUCUCUUGGCUCUCGCAUCGAUGAAGAACGCAGCGAAAUGCGAUAAGUAAUGUGAAUUGCAGAAUUCAGUGAAUCAUCGAAUCUUUGAACGCACCUUGCGCUCCUUGGUAUUCCGAGGAGCAUGCCUGUUUGAGUGUCAUUAAUAUAUCAACUUCUACAACUUUUGUUUGUUGAGUGUUGGAUGUGGGGGGUCAUUUUUUGCUGGCUUCUCUGAGGUCAGCUCCCCUGAAAUAUAUUAGCAGAACAAUUCCGUUCAUUGGUGUGAUAACUAUCUAUGCUAUUGACGUGAAGCAGUUCAGCUUAUAACAGUCCAUUGACUUGGACAAAUUUUCAUUAAUGUGACCUCAAAUC